rnacentral:rRNA from 1 species
AUGUCGUCGUUCGCCGGCGUAUCCGUCUUGGACGACGGCAUGCUGUGCCCUUCCACCAUGACCUUCGUCAGCACCAGCUCAGACUGCGGGUACCACCUGCUUGUGGUCAAGGGUUACGCUCGUACCAAGGAGACACCCAAUGGUCAAAGCAUCCUCUCUCAUGAUUUCGGGGUGGGAGGCUAUCGUUGGUCCAUCAAGUACUAUCCUAACGGCAUCAUCUCGGAUCGCGCCGACGUCGUCUCUCUCUAUGUGCACCGUCUCGAUGACGACGAUGGCAAGCAUGUGGAAGCCAAGUUUAGCUUUAGUUUCGUCGACGAGGUUGAGUGGCAGAAUCCAGUGUACAUCCGUGGAAUGAAAACAUGCAGCUUCUCCUCCGAUGCCUCUUCUUGGGGCUUCUACAAGUUUAUGAAAAUAGAUGCCCUUGAAAGAUUAAUGAAUCUAGACAAGGAUGACUGUUUCACCAUCCGGUGUGACAUCAUGGUCUGCAACGCCGAGAAUGAUGCCGGUGGCACCCAAGUGCUCCUGCCUGAUAUACACCGUAACCUUAACAACCUCCUUCACAAUAAGGUUGGUGCUGAUGUGACGUUUGAAGUCGGCAGCGAUAUUUUCUCAGCGCACCGAUGCGUGCUUGCAGCCCAAUCUAAGGUCUUCAUGGCACAACUAUUUGGACCCAUGAAGGAGGGAUCUGCCUCGCUCGAUGUCAUACAGAUCAAAGACAUGGAAGCAACAACGUUCAAGGCUUUGCUUAGCUUCAUCUACACUGACUCAUUCCCCGACAUGAAGGAGGAUGAAAUGUCACAAGCUACAGAAGAGGAGGCAGUAAAGUAUGAAAUGUGGCGGCAAUGGCUUCAAAACUUAUUGGUAGCAGCAGAUAGAUAUGACGUCCAAAGGCUCAAGUACAUAUGUGAGAAAGAGUUGUGUAAGAACAUGUGUGUAAGCUCGGUGGCGUCCAUGCUUGUCCUAGCUGAGCAGCACCACUGCCACAGAUUGAAGGAGGCGUGCUUGAAGUUUAUCCAAGUCCAGUCUCCCUCGUGUUUGCAGACAAUAAUCGCGAGCAAAGGUUGGCAGCAUAUAAUCGCGACUUAUCCCUCUGUUCUGAACGAGCUCAUUGCCAAGGUUAUUGCUUCAAACCAGCAGUUAGUCCUGAAGUGA